UUCCCUGCUGGCCUAGAUUAACCUAGAAAACAAGCAUUCAGUGAAUGCCAACUAAGCUUUCCUCGGGAGAAGCGACUAGACAGUUACAAUCAGUCUCUGAUUACACAAACAUACCUAAGGGCAGGUUGGAGUGUGAAGGAGGGCUUGGGAGGGGGUUGCCUAACCGGAGGAGGAUUAAACCAGUUCUCCUAUUGUCAUUAACUUCGAGAAAGCUGGCUUUUGUUUCGUGGGGCUCACGGGUCGCCGCUCUCAAAUUAGGAAAGGUGGCGACAGGGAGACUCUCCGGGUCGCAAGUUGGGGCCCAGAAGCUUCGGAUUCCUUCUGUCACUUUGCUCUUCUGCUUUGGAAGAACAAGGCGUAGAGUCCUAGCUCCCUCCCCAGCAAACAAACAAUAGAGAGAACUGAGGCCAAAGUCCUUCCUGGGCCCACCUGGGGACUUACACCUAAAAGAAAGUGUUCUUUCCCGCAUUAAGUGGGUAGCGGAUGAUGAAAGUAAUUAUGCAUGGUUUCCAGGAGCCCCGAGUUCGGGACGUCUGACUCUCCACGUCCACAGGCGGUGUUUGUGGGGGUCGGGAAACCUGAAGCGGAAAAAGGUGCAAGCCCUCUUUACACUGCGUUUAGGCGGUAACAGCCCAAAUGACAACUUUCAUUGACAGAGAAGAGCUUCCCAGGCCCAGACAGCGCGCGCGGCGCGGCGGGGCUGGGAUUGGUCAGCCGCAUGUCACGUGAGGGAAGGACGUCCUCGCGCCCCGCCCCCACCCCGGCGCGCGCGCUCAGAGGCAGCGGCUGGGCCCCGCGCCGCUUUCACUUUCGGCAGUGGGGUUCAGAGCCCAGCGAUGCCGUGGAAAGGGGGAGUGAGGGGGGGGUGGUUAAAAAGGAUUUUGAGGUCAUUGGUACAAAUAGGAGGCGUUCUAAAGAAAUAAAGGUUGCACGUGCUGGUGGCGGGGGUGGUCAUCCUGGGUCUAUGUUCCGGGAAGGAGAGGGACUGGGAAGCGGGUGUUUACCGCCUUGCAAGGGUAAAACUGAUCUAGCGGGUCCACGAAAUGUUCAGCGAAUUACAAGGGCCGCGGGAUCGCAAUCCAAAAUAGAAAGCAGGAGGAACGCUGAUUUGGUAGUUUGGUUUUGAGGAGAAAAGUCCUCCACGCAGUUUAUGAGGUCCAAGUAAGGGACCACCGAUGCUAGCUUAUUAACACAAACUAGGACGCAGCGC